rnacentral:rRNA from 1 species
GACGAACGCUGGCGGCGUGCUUAACACAUGCAAGUCGAACGAUGAAGCGCCUUCCUUUCUGGUUGGUGUGGAGGAGUGGCGAAGUGGUGAGUAACAAGGGAGUAACCUGCCCCCUUCUUCUGGAUAACCGCAUAAAAGUGUUGAUAAUACGGGAUAUUCUGGGUCUGUCGCAUGAUUGGUCUGGGAAGGAUUUUGUUUCAGUGGGGGAUGGGCCCGCGGCCUAUUAGCUUGUUGGUGAGGUGAUGGCCUACCAAGGCGGUGACGAGUAGCCGGCCUGAGAGGAUGGGCGGCCGUAGAGGGAAUACGACACGGAGAAGCCUACGACGGGAAGCAGCAGUGGGGCAUACUGCACGAUGGGAGCAAGCACGAUGCAGCGACGCGGGAUGAGGGAUGGUCGCCGUCGGGUAGAGAACCUUUUUCGGGAGAGAAGAAGGCCGUCAUUGAUUGUGCGUGUGUUGACGGUACCUGGACAAGAAGCCACGGCUAACUACGU